rnacentral:rRNA from 1 species
GACGAACGCUGGCGGCGUGCUUAACACAUGCAAGUCGAACGAUGAACCCGGAGCUUGCUCUGGGGGAUUAGUGGCGAACGGGUGAGUAACACGUGAGUAACCUGCCCUGGACUCUGGGAUAAGCGUUGGAAACGACGUCUAAUACCGGAUAGGACCUUGGAUCGCAUGAUCUGGGGUGGAAAGUUUUUUCGGUCUGGGAUGGACUCGCGGCCUAUCAGCUUGUUGGUGAGGUAAUGGCUCACCAAGGCGUCGACGGGUAGCCGGCCUGAGAGGGUGACCGGCCACACUGGGACUGAGACACGGCCCAGACUCCUACGGGAGGCAGCAGUGGGGAAUAUUGCACAAUGGGCGAAAGCCUGAUGCAGCAACGCCGCGUGCGGGAUGACGGCCUUCGGGUUGUAAACCGCUUUUAGUAGGGAAGAAGGGCUUCGGCUUGACUGUACCUGCAGAAAAAGGACCGGCUAACUACGUG